rnacentral:rRNA from 1 species
UACCAGCAUCCGAGUGGUCGGGACGAUUAUUGGGCCUAAAGCAUCCGUAGCCGGUUCUGCAAGUCCCCCGUUAAAUCCAGCUGCUCAACAGAUGGGCCGCGGAGGAUACUACAGAGCUAGGAGGCAGGAGAGGCAAGCGGUACUCAGUGGGUAGGGGUAAAAUCCGUUGAUCCAUUGAAGACCACCAGUGGCGAAGGCGGCUUGCCAGAAUGCGCUCGACGGUGAGGGAUGAAAGCUGGGGGAGCAAACCGG